AACCAGCCAUGCCGCGUGCAGGAAGACGGCUCUAUGAGUUGUAAACUGCUUUUGUACAGGGAUAAUUGUGGAUACGUGUAUCCAUUUGCAGGUACUGUACGAAUAAGGAUCGGCUAACUCCGUGCCAGCAGCCGCGGUAAUACGGAGGAUCCAAGCGUUAUCCGGAUUUAUUGGGUUUAAAGGGUGCGUAGGCGGUUCGGUAAGUUAGAGGUGAAAACCCGUGGCUCAACCACGGACGUGCCUCUGAUACUGCCGGACUAGAGAGUAGAUGCGGUAGGCGGAAUGUGUGGUGUAGCGGUGAAAUGCUUAGAGAUCACACAGAACACCGAUUGCGAAGGCAGCUUACCAAUCUAUAUCUGACGUUGAGGCACGAAAGCGUGGGUAGCAAACAGGAUUAGAUACCCUGGUAGUCCACGCAGUAAACGAUGAUAGCUCGUUGUCGGCGAUACACAGUCGGUGACUUAGCGAAAGCGUUAAGCUAUCCACCUGGGGAGUACGUUCGCAAGAAUGAAACUCAAAGGAAUUGACGGGGGCCCGCACAAGCGGAGGAACAUGUGGUUUAAUUCGAUGAUACGCGAGGAACCUUACCCGGGCUUGAAAGUUAUUGACGGUGGUCGAAAGAUCACUUCCCUUCGGGGCAAGAAACUAGGUGCUGCAUGGUUGUCGUCAGCUCGUGCCGUGAGGUGUCGGAUUAAGUUCCAUAACGAGCGCAACCCUUGCCGUUAGUUGCCAUCAGGUCAUGCUGGGCACUCUAACGGGACUGCCGGUGUAAGCCGAGAGGAAGGUGGGGAUGACGUCAAAUCAGCACGGCCCUUACGUCCGGGGCGACACACGUGUUACAAUGGUCGGUACAGAGGGCAGCUACCCAGCGAUGGGAUGCGAAUCUCGAAAGCCGAUCUCAGUUCGGAUCGGAGGCUGAAACUCGCCUCCGUGAAGUUGGAUUCGCUAGUAAUCGCGCAUCA
rnacentral:rRNA from 1 species